GCCGGUGUGGCGGAAUUGGUAGACGCGCCAGACUCAAAAUCUGGUUACCGCAAGGUAGUGUGGGUUCGAUUCCCUCCACCGGCACCA
rnacentral:tRNA from 1 species